GCCAGGUGCACUGGUGCACUCCUGUAAUCCCAGUUGCUGGGAGGCUGAGGCAAGAGGAUCUCAAGUUCAAAGCCAGCCUCAGCAAACAGACUCAGCAACUCAGUGAGACCCUGUCUCUA
rnacentral:sRNA from 1 species